rnacentral:ncRNA from 1 species
AAGUAGCACUUAUAGGAACUGUCUGGUGAGCACACGAAAGUGUGAAUUUAAUCAUAGCGCUAAUUAAAUCCUGCUAUGGGGUA